UAGAGGAAAUAGCGGAUGACAUAUCAGUCAGAUACAAAAACUUUUUGAUAGAUACGAAUCCGGUUCGUAGAUUCUGUAUUUACAGAAUGAAAGAAAACUACAAAUUUUUGAAAAACAUUUUAAAUUAAUAAUUUAACGUUUCAAUAUUUUAUCUAUGUUUUUGGUAACUAACAACAUGGAUGUACAUUGUACCUACCUAUUGAACCAUUUCAGCUACCAAGAAUUCUCCAUUUUACAUGCCCAAACAUUUUUAAUUUUAAUUAUAUAUUAUAAAGAUUACUAAUGAAUUUCCCUUACAUGAUUUACAAAAACAAAAUGCACUUAUGAUGUGGGAAUGCUUUAUUUUUUUUUGCUUUCAGUCCUAAAAGAAACAUUUAUUAUAGUAAACUACAUACAUUUUCUAUCCACACAAAUAUAUUGUAACACGAUUUACCUCUUUCCCUUUUAUCAUUACUAUUGCUAUUAUUAUUACUAUUUUUAAAUAUUAUUUUUCCUCCAUUAUACAAAUUUAUAUAAUAUGUGCAUAUUGAUUAGUAUGCUGUGUCAUACAAAAACCUAUGUAAUGUGUGCAGUUCGCUUUGAAUUAAUAAAGUAGUUAUACGUAUAAAAAA